AGAACGAACGCUGGCGGCAGGCUUAACACAUGCAAGUCGAACGCGUGUAGCAAUACACGAGUGGCGCACGGGUGAGUAACGCGUGGAUAUCUGCCUUUUGGUUCGGAAUAACCCCGGGAAACUGGGGCUAAUACCGGAUGGUUCCUACGGGAUAAAGAUUUAUCGCCAAAAGAUGAGUCCGCGUCCGAUUAGCUAGUUGGUGGGGUAAUGGCCUACCAAGGCGACGAUCGGUAGCUGGUCUGAGAGGACGAUCAGCCACACUGGGACUGAGACACGGCCCAGACUCCUACGGGAGGCAGCAGUGGGAAUAUGGACAAUGGGGCAACCCUGAUCCAGCCAUGCCGCGUGAGUGAUGAAGGCCUUCGGGUUGUAAAGCUCUUUUGGCGGGACGAUGAUGACGGUACCCGCAGAAUAGCCCGGCUAACUUCGUGCCAGCAGCCGC
rnacentral:rRNA from 1 species